GGGGGCCCGCACAAGCGGUGGAGCAUGUGGUUUAAUUCGAUGCAACGCGAAGAACCUUACCUGGCCUUGACAUCCACGGAAUUCGGCAGAGAUGCCUUAGUGCCUUCGGGAACCGUGAGACAGGUGCUGCAUGGCUGUCGUCAGCUCGUGUUGUGAAAUGUUGGGUUAAGUCCCGCAACGAGCGCAACCCUUAUCCUUUGUUGCCAGCACGUAAUGGUGGGAACUCAAAGGAGACUGCCGGUGAUAAACCGGAGGAAGGUGGGGAUGACGUCAAGUCAUCAUGGCCCUUACGGCCAGGGCUACACACGUGCUACAAUGGCGCAUACAAAGAGAAGCGACCUCGCGAGAGCAAGCGGACCUCAUAAAGUGCGUCGUAGUCCGGAUCGGAGUCUGCAACUCGACUCCGUGAAGUCGGAAUCGCUAGUAAUCGUAGAUCAGAAUGCUACGGUGAAUACGUUCCCGGGCCUUGUACACACCGCCCGUCACACCAUGGGAGUGGGUUGCAAAAGAAGUAGGUAGCUUAACCUUCGGGAGGGCGCUUACCACUUUGUGAUUCAUGACUGGGGUGAAGUCGUAACAAGGUAACCGUAGGGAACCUGCG
rnacentral:rRNA from 1 species